rnacentral:lncRNA from 1 species
AUGGGCGGGUUUCUAGAGCAGUGGUCACCUCCACUGUUUUGGAAAUUCACCUCUGAACAGCUCCAAAAUCCUAAAAAACUGGUAGAAUGCUUGAAAAAAGGGUGUCAUGACUCUGGCAAUUCCAAAGAGACACAAAUCACUGUAGCACGCUGGGGUCUGGCCUAUGCCUAUCGAGCUGCAAUCGAUGCUACUGUCAACCUAGUGACAGACCCCGCGGCCACUCCAAGUCCUGUGACAGGCCCAACGACCACUCCAACCCCUACGAUGGACCCUGCAGCCGCUCCAACUCCCGCAGCCGUUCCAGCUCCCGCAGCCGUUCCAGUUCCCGCAGCCGUUCCAGCUCCUGCAGCCGUUCCAGCUCCUGCAGCCGCUCCAGCUCCCGCAGCCGUUCCAGCUCCCGCAGCCGUUCCAGCUCCUGCAGCUGCUCCAACCCCUGUGAUGGGCCCAGCAUGUUAUCCAACUCCUGUGGCAGGCCCUGUGGCUGGGUCAGAGAAACGAGCUUUAGCAGUGCAAGUUGCCCCUGUAGACAAGGUGAAAAGAUGGUAUAGAGAUUCACGUCGUUUAGAACGCAGACAGUCUUCUGCUAGGUCUAGUUAUAGAGAAGACGAUGCUGGGCCAUCAGAGGUGCAGGAGGAUGAAGACGAGGAUGUCAAAAAAUCAACAGUAAUUACCCGAAACCUAUACCAGCAUGAGCUACGAGAUGUACGGAAAGAUUCUGGUCGCUGCAUAAGAGAGCAGCUUGUCACCUGGCUGCUCCGGUGCUGGGACACCGGAGCCAAUUGUGUGGAAUUAGAGGGCAAGGAAGCCAGGCGGCUGGGAUCCCUUGCUAGAGACGCAGGCAUUGACAAAGCAAUUGGAAAUGGAGCACGAUCUCGCAGCCUCUGGAGGCGUCUCCUGUCAGCUGUGCAGGAAAGGUAUCCCUUCAAGGAAGAACUUGUAUAUCUAGCAGGCAAGUGGACCACUAUGGAGAAGGGAAUCCAGUACCUGAGGGAAUUCUCUCCCCCAUCCCAGAGAGGGAGGGAGGAGGGUGAGCAAAAGGCUGUGUGGUGUUUAGCUGCUGACCGGGUUAAACCACAACAGCCAGACAGACAAGUGGAGAGGAGUAUCCAGUACCUGAGGGAAUUAGCUGUAUGGGAGGUGAUUUAUAGGGACCUAGACAACGAACAAAUAUCCACAGAUCCAGAUGAAGUCAAGUGUACAUGA